AGCGAACUGAUUAGAAGCUUGCUUCUAUGACGUUAGCGGCGGACGGGUGAGUAACACGUGGGCAACCUGCCUGUAAGACUGGGAUAACUCCGGGAAACCGGAGCUAAUACCGGAUAACAUUUUCUCUUGCAUAAGAGAAAAUUGAAAGAUGGUUUCGGCUAUCACUUACAGAUGGGCCCGCGGUGCAUUAGCUAGUUGGUGAGGUAACGGCUCACCAAGGCAACGAUGCAUAGCCGACCUGAGAGGGUGAUCGGCCACACUGGGACUGAGACACGGCCCAGACUCCUACGGGAGGCAGCAGUAGGGAAUCUUCCGCAAUGGACGAAAGUCUGACGGAGCAACGCCGCGUGAGUGAUGAAGGCUUUCGGGUCGUAAAACUCUGUUGUUAGGGAAGAACAAGUACAAGAGUAACUGCUUGUACCUUGACGGUACCUAACCAGAAAGCCACGGCUAACUACGUGCCAGCAGCCGCGGUAAUACGUAGGUGGCAAGCGUUAUCCGGAAUUAUUGGGCGUAAAGCGCGCGCAGGCGGUUUCUUAAGUCUGAUGUGAAAGCCCAC
rnacentral:rRNA from 2 species